rnacentral:rRNA from 1 species
AUUGAACGCUGGCGGCAGGCCUAACACAUGCAAGUCGAGCGGAUGAAGGGAGCUUGCUCCUGGAUUCAGCGGCGGACGGGUGAGUAAUGCCUAGGAAUCUGCCUGGUAGUGGGGGAUAACGUCCGGAAACGGGCGCUAAUACCGCAUACGUCCUGAGGGAGAAAGUGGGGGAUCUUCGGACCUCACGCUAUCAGAUGAGCCUAGGUCGGAUUAGCUAGUUGGUUGGGUAAAGGCCUACCAAGGCGACGAUCCGUAACUGGUCUGAGAGGAUGAUCAGUCACACUGGAACUGAGACACGGUCCAGACUCCUACGGGAGGCAGCAGUGGGGAAUAUUGGACAAUGGGCGAAAGCAUGAUACAGCCAUGCCGCGUGUGUGAAGAAGGUCUUCGGAUUGUAAAGCACUUUAAGGUGGGAGGAAGGGCAGUAAGUUAAUACCUUGCUGUUUUGACGUUACCAACAGAAUAAGCACCGGCUAACUUCGUG